rnacentral:rRNA from 1 species
AUUGCACGCUGGCGGCAGGCCUAACACAUGCAAGUCGAGCGAGCGGCGGACGGGUGAGUAAUGUCUGGGAAACUGCCUGAUGGAGGGGGAUAAAUACUGGAAACGGUAGCUAAUACCGCAUACCAUCAGAUGUGCCCAGAUGGGAUUAGCUAGUAGGUGGGGUAACGGCUCACCUCGGCGACGAUCCCUAGCUGGUCUGAGAGGAUGACCAGCCACACUGGAACGGAGACACGGUCCAGACUCCUACGGGAGGCAGAAGUGGGGAAGAUGGCACAAUGGGCGCAAGCCUGAUGCAGCCAUGCCGCGUGUGUGAAGAAGGCCUUCGGGUUGUAAAGCACUUUCAGCGGGGAGGCGUUACCCGCAGAAGAAGCACCGGCUAACUCCGUGCCAGCAGCCGCGGUAAUUC